rnacentral:rRNA from 1 species
CAAAGAAAGCCACGGCUAACUCUGUGCCAGCAGCCGCGGUAAUACAGAGGUGGCAAGCGUUGCUCGGAAUCACUGGGCAUAAAGGGCGUCUAGGCGGAUGAGCACGUUGGUUGUGAAAUCCCUCGGCUUACCCGGGAAGUGCAACCAAAACGGCCUGUCUUGAGGACGAGAGGGGAGAGUGGAACUCCUGGUGGAGCGGUGAAAUGCGUAGAUAUCAGGAGGAACGCCGGUGGCGAAAGCGACUCUCUGGCUCGUUUCUGACGCUGAGGCGCGAAAGCUAGGGGAGCAAACGGGAUUAGAUACCCCGGUAGUCCUAGCCCUAAACUAUGAGCACUAAGUAGUGGUACUUCGAUGGUGUCGCUGCCGUAGCUAAUGUGUUAAGUGCUCCGCCUGGGGAGUAUGGCCGCAAGGCUAAAACUCAAAGGAAUUGACGGGGGCUCACACAAGCGGUGGAGGAUGUUGCUUAAUUCGAAGCAACGCGAAGAACCUUACCUGGGCUUGACAUCACUGUGGUAGGAACCUGAAAGGGGAACGACCCGGGCAACUCGGGAGCAGUACAGGUGUUGCAUGGCUGUCGUCAGCUCGUGCCGUGAGGUGUUGGGUUAAGUCCCUUAACGAGCGAAACCCUUGUCGCUAGUUGCUAGCGGGUAAUGCCGAGGACUCUAGAGAGACCGCCGGUGUCAAACCGGAGGAAGGUGGGGAUGACGUCAAGUCAUCAUGGCCCUUACGUCCAGGGCUGCAAACGUCCCACAAUGGCGCGUACAAAGGGAAGCAAUCCCGCAAGGGGGAGCCAAUCCCACAAAGCGCGUCCCAGUCCGGAUUGUGGGCUGAAAUUCGCCCACAUGAAGUCGGAAUCGCUAGUAAUCGCGGAUCAGCAUGCCGCGGUGAAUACGUUCCUGAGCCUUGUACACACCGCCCGUCAAGCCA